GUGGCUCUGACUGCUUAUUGCACCACAUGUGUUUUUCUUUGAAACAAACUUGCUUUGGCGGUGGGCCCAGCCUGCCGCCAGAGGUCUAAACUUACAACCAAUUUUUUAUCAACUUGUCACACCAGAUUAUUACUUAAUAGUCAAAACUUUCAACAACGGAUCUCUUGGUUCUCGCAUCGAUGAAGAACGCAGCGAAAUGCGAUACGUAAUAUGAAUUGCAGAUAUUCGUGAAUCAUCGAAUCUUUGAACGCACAUUGCGCCCUCUGGUAUUCCGGAGGGCAUGCCUGUUUGAGCGUCGUUUCUCCCUCAAACCGCUGGGUUUGGUGUUGAGCAAUACGACUUGGGUUUGCUUGAAAGACGGUAGUGGUAAGGCGGGAUCGCUUUGACAAUGGCUUAGGUCUAACCAAAAACAUUGCUUGCGGCGGUAACGUCCACCACGUAUAUCUUCAAACUUUGACCUCAAAUCAGGUAGGACUACCCGCUGAACUUAAGCAUAUCAAAAAGCGGAGGAA
rnacentral:rRNA from 1 species